UCGGAGGCCAUUAACGGACC
rnacentral:misc_RNA from 1 species